UAAAUCAGUUAUCGUUUAUUUGAUAGUACCUUACUACAUGGAUACCUGUGGUAAUUCUAGAGCUAAUACAUGCUAAAAACCUCGACUUCGGAAGGGGUGUAUUUAUUAGAUAAAAAACCAACGCCCUUCGGGGCUCCUUGGUGAAUCAUAAUAACUAAGCGAAUCGCAUGGCCUUGCGCCGGCGAUGGUUCAUUCAAAUUUCUGCCCUAUCAACUUUCGAUGGUAGGAUAGUGGCCUACCAUGGUGGCAACGGGUAACGGGGAAUUAGGGUUCGAUUCCGGAGAGGGAGCCUGAGAAACGGCUACCACAUCCAAGGAAGGCAGCAGGCGCGCAAAUUACCCAAUCCCGACACGGGGAGGUAGUGACAAUAAAUACUGAUACGGGGCUCUUUUGGGUCUCGUAAUUGGAAUGAGUACAAUUUAAAUCCCUUAACGAGGAACAAUUGGAGGGCAAGUCUGGUGCCAGCAGCCGCGGUAAUUCCAGCUCCAAUAGCGUAUAUUAAAGUUGUUGCAGUUAAAAAGCUCGUAGUUGAACCUUGGGUCUGGCUGGCCGGUCCGCCUCACCGCGAGUACUGGUCCGGCUGGACCUUUCCUUCUGGGGAACCUCAUGGCCUUCACUGGCUGUGGGGGGAACCAGGACUUUUACUGUGAAAAAAUUAGAGUGUUCAAAGCAGGCCUUUGCUCGAAUACAUUAGCAUGGAAUAAUAGAAUAGGACGUGCGGUUCUAUUUUGUUGGUUUCUAGGACCGCCGUAAUGAUUAAUAGGGAUAGUCGGGGGCGUCAGUAUUCAGCUGUCAGAGGUGAAAUUCUUGGAUUUGCUGAAGACUAACUACUGCGAAAGCAUUCGCCAAGGAUGUUUUCAUUAAUCAGGGAACGAAAGUUAGGGGAUCGAAGACGAUCAGAUACCGUCGUAGUCUUAACCAUAAACUAUGCCGACUAGGGAUCGGGCGGUGUUUCUAUAAU
rnacentral:rRNA from 1 species